UCCAAAAUGAAAAUAAUCAUUAGUUGCAGUCAACUACAAAAGUAAAAUGUUGCUUUUACGUUAAUACAUGAAUAAUAAUAAUCUAAUGAUAUAAUAUGUAACAGCAUAACAGCCACAGGGGCCAUUUUCCUGCAUUGAGUACUUUUACUUUGAAUACUUUAAUUACAUUUUCUCCUGCUAAUCAUAUAUUUGUCACAAUACAACAAAGACAAUAGCCUACUUAUUUUAACAUCAUCAUCAUCAUCAUCAUCAUCAUCAUAAUUAUUAUUAGUAGUAGUAAUUGUAGUAGUAUUGUUAAUACAUGUGUACAUAUUUCAGUAUUUUCAGGUAGGCUUGGGGAGCUGAGGGGUUGUCCAUCGCCCCCUGGUGGACGUUUCGAGAAACCCCUUCACACCCUCCUCUGGCUCACCGGACGAGUUGUCAUGGCAACUGUACAGCAUGUGCUUACAAAAACAAGAGCUUGACCGUUCACAGACAGUUCUCUCGGCAUUCGACAUCCACGACGCCAUCUUCUUCUUCUAGCAUUUAUCAGAGAGGAAGACAGAAGGCACUCGUGAAAACAGAAGGGAAGCCGAAGAACGAUGAGCGGAGCCAAAGCCCGCAGCGACGCGCCUGUUGCUGAAAAUGUCUCCGGCGGCGGGCACAGCACUGCGGCUCCUCCGCGGGACCGCAAGCCUGGCGGAGGGGUUCUGAAGAGGCUCAAGUCCCGGAGGAGCCAGGUGGACAGCAGGCCCGUCACGGAGGAAGACCUGCGGACACAGAGUGGACACAUCACGCCGGAGGAUGUGCUAGGACUGCGGGUGGCUACGCGAGGGUACCUCUGUAAACCCGAGGACAAUAUUUAUAACAUCGACUUUGUACGCUUUAAGAUCAGAGACCUGGAGACCAGCACUGUCCUGUUUGAGAUUGCCAAACCCCCACAUACAGACGACGAUGAGGAGAACAGAGAGGCAGACGCCAGCGCGGGCCGAUUUGUACGCUACCAGUUCACCCCAGCCUUCCUGCAACUGAGGACCGUGGGAGCAACAGUGGAAUUCACAGUUGGAAACCGUCCUCUAAACAACUUCCGCAUGAUUGAGAGGCACUACUUCCGCGAUCACCUGCUGAAGAGCUUUGACUUUGACUUUGGCUUCUGUAUCCCAAACAGCCGUAACACCUGUGAGCACAUCUACGAGUUCCCUCAGCUGUCUGAGAGCCUGGGCCUUCGUGGAAUACAUUUCAGCAGUCAGUUGUGGAUCGACACGCACGCACCGGAAACAAGUGGACAGGUGGGAUAAAUCAACCUCAUUCACCCCUCCCCCUACACACUAGCACACACACACACACACACACACACACACACACACACACACACACACCUAUCUUUGUAACUGGCCCUCCCAUAUAUCCUGUUCAGUGAAUCACACCACAUUGAGAUUAGCAGUGAAAAGCACUGGUUUACUGAGGUUCCCCUGAAACACACAUACACUCUCUCACACACACAGAUCUACACUCAGGCAGGGGGACAGGGGGGACAGUGGUCUCCUAUAAAUAGCAACUAGGAAUGGCGUUGAUAGGUCCUGUGAAAAGAAAUGGAGGGGGGAGUGGAAAAAGGAUUAAAAGAAAUACAGGGACGCACUGCAACUCCACUUGUGUGUGUGUCUCUAAGAUACUUUGGAGAGAGGUGGCAUGGAUUUCUUGCUACCAACAAAACUCUCUCUCUUGAAUCACCACCCUCCCUUAAAAAAAAACACCAUCCAUCCACUCUCUCUCUCUUACAUAUACACACUGUAUACACGCGUCCUCGUCCUCGGCCUCCGAGGCCCUGGUGUGAAAUCCAUCAUGUGUUAACACAACAUUCCCUGCGGCGCGUCUUCCGACAAAGAGAUGAUGAGUCACGGCACAGUCCUCUCUUCUAAGUUGGCACGAUGAUAGUCUCGAAGAUGGUCGUGACUCCUUCUGUAUGUGUGAUGAUGUCAUUUCCAGCAAUUGCUUAGUGACAUCACCCCCCUGAAAGAGGUCAGGGCAGACGUGAAGGUGCAAACAUAAAGGAUGGUGCAUGUAAAUAUGAAUAAACAUCCAUUUAGAGGUUUAAAAAAAAAAGCUAAUUCAUCAUCACUGCUACCUUUUAAAAUGCCAAUAGUGUUAACCAAGAAAGUACACUUUUAAAAAUAAGCACUUUAAGUAUGUGUCACUUUUAAAUGAGCAUCUCAUUUUGGAUUGAAUGGAUGCUGUAAUUUAAUGUCAUGCCAAGCAAAUCUUAGUAGAUGUGACAAAAGAUAACAGAUAAUUAGUUGUCUGGGAGUUAAUAAUGCACUCAGCACAACAGUGAUGGAUAGACAGAGUCCAUUUAACAAACUGUGACUCCCAUACCAAUUUCAAAGGUGGCAAGUGCAGUAUUGACAAUGUGUCUUUAAGUGUUAGGUCUCUGUGGAUUUGUAACCAGAAGCCUUUGUGCGGCUUCUAUUUUGUGUCUGUGUGUGUGUCUGUGUGUUUCCCUGCGUUUGUCUGCCCAACAGUCUGUGUGGUAUUACAGUGUAGAUCUCCAAUGCUGCUGCUGCUGCUGCUGCUUACACUCAUACAGCCGACAGACAGAAAUAGUCUUGUGUCAUCAGGGUAAAUAGGUUGUGGUCUGUUUGUGCUCGCAGGAAGCCCACAGCCGCCUUCAGAAGCCUUUCAGAGUCUUCCAGCACCGUCAGUCCAGAUUGUUUUGUGUGCGAUUAAUAAAAGGUUAACUUAACCCUCAGUCAACUGCUGAAGAGGCCUGUAAAUCUCCCUCACAAUCUCUUCCUUCCUCUCCCUUUCUCUCCUCCCUUUGUCUCUCUCCCUUUGCCACACCUUCGCCUGGGGGAUGGAGGGAUUGUGAUCGGAGAACGGAGGUGGGGCUCCUGGUGCAACCACAGACUGCCUCGAGGGUGGUGGAGAGCAGGUCCCAGGCCCUGGCAGGUCAAAGGUUGCUCACAGACAAUGGGUUCCCACUCUGGGUCAGCUGUGGUCAAGGAAACAAAAGCAGUGAAGACUUGGAUUGGACAAACUAU